UCUUUUCUGUUUCUGUUGGCAGUACAGGGGGGAGGAGGGGUUUCAAGUGGUUUUCUGUGACAAGGAUGCUGAGUUUGUCUCCAACUGUGCCUUUCCUCCAUCAGUGCAUGGAUCUCAGCCCUCCGCCCUCAGACCCACAUGCCUAAGUCUCCCUGCUUUCUUCCCUCAGACCCAGGGUUCCUCCCAAAUCUCUGUGCAAGCUUCAACUCUCCCUCCUCUGUUGCUGAGGCGGGAGGCCGGGCUCUGGAGCAGGCACUCUUGGGCACUGUCUUCAGCCAGGAAGGGUAUUUAUUUGCAGACUCUGGCUUCUGAGACCUCCCUGGAUUCAGCCCCCUGGACUGUGUGCUGGCUACCAUCUACCUGUGCAGUGGAGGAGACCUCUGCCCGGGGCUUCCGCCAGCUGCUGGAGCUGAACCUGCUGGAGACAUACACCUUGGCCAAGGUGAGACAGGCCCGGUUUCAAAUGGCAUGUGUCCCUGAUUUCAUCAAGAGCACACGGCCCUGUGCCCCUUGGCUUCCUGUCUUUAUUCUUUUAUAUGCAAUCUUUUUUUUUUUUCUUUUUCUAAAGACAGGUUUUCUCUGUGUAGCCUUGGCUGUUCUGGACUCCUUUGUAGUCUAAGCUGGCCCUGAACUCACAGAGAUCCACCUGGAAUUACAGUGGUUCUCAACCGGUGGGUUGUGACCUCUUUGGAGUUGAAUGACCCUUUCACAGGGGUAGCCUAAGACCAUCAGAAAACACAGAUAUUAAUAUUAUGAUUCAUAAGAAUAACAAACUUACAGUUUUGAGGUAGCAAUGAGAAUAAUUUUAUGGUUGGAGUUGACCACACCAUGAGGAACUGUGUUAGAGGUCACAACAUUAGGAAGGUUGAGAACCAGGAUCUAGAAGGACCACGUUCCACAUAGAAGGAAAAAAAAAAAAAAAAGACACGUAUCUACAUCCACCUGGAAAACUGCAGCGCCUCAAAAAUUUCCAGAGCCUUCCAGGCCUGCUUGGAGGGAGAGACAAGGGUGAUAAGAACCCCGAGAUGUGGCUGGUAGAAUGUUUGCCCAGCCACAUGUAGCUCUAGCUUGGGUCCCCAGCACCACAGAAAACAGGCAUGAUGGUGCAACCUGUGACCUCAGCACACAGGAGGCAGAGGCAG